rnacentral:lncRNA from 1 species
CACAACUCAAUCCUAAAAUCCACACCAACCACUGCUAAAAGUCAGAGAAUGAAGGAUAGCAAACCCAAUGUUACUACUGUUAAAAACAUUUGUUUCAUAGUAAACGCCGUUGAUUCUUCGACUUUCACAAGUUACCUGUAAUUUGUUCCCAACGUGAAAAAAAUCGAAGUUAAGAAUCAACUAGCAAAAAAGGUAUUAAAAUUUUGUAAUAUGUUAAAAACGAAAGCCCUCUUUUCCUUCAUCUGCAUUCGAUUAGAAAUGAAAUUGAAAAUUGGGUAAAUAAGGGCCUUUGUCGGAAUGAAUCCACAACUCUUGAAUUAAAUCAAUUAAACAUGCCAUUCAAACACCAUUAAGAAAACUAAACAAAUUAAAAGUAAAAAAAAAGGGGGGAAAAAGGAAAAAAUCACGGAUCUGACCUUAACAAUUCAGAAGAAUGGAUGAAGAGGGUGAGUAGGUCUGCGUUUGUAUAGAAAUUGAUUAAUGGUUGGUGGGCAGAGGAGAGAGAGAGUACCAAAGGAAAAUAAAUUAAUUUGGACAGAUUUUACGGCAAAAUAAUUGAAUACAGAAUCGAG